rnacentral:rRNA from 1 species
AGUGGCAGACGGGUGAGUAAUGUAUAGGAAUCUACCUAGUAGUACGGAAUAAUUGUUGGAAACGGCAACUAAUACCGUAUACGCCCUACGGGGGAAAGAUUUAUCGCUAUUAGAUGAGCCUAUAUUAGAUUAGCUAGUUGGUAAGGUAAUGGCUUACCAAGGCAAUGAUCUAUAGCUGAUCUGAGAGGAUGAUCAGCCACACUGGAACUGAGAUACGGUCCAGACUCCUACGGGAGGCAGCAGUGGGGAAUAUUGGACAAUGGGCGAAAGCCUGAUCCAGCCAUGCCGCAUGAGUGAAGAAGGCCUUUGGGUUGUAAAGCUCUUUCGGUGAGGAAGAUAAUGACGGUACUCACAGAAGAAGUCCUGGCUAACUCCGUGCCAGCAGCCGCGGUAAUACGGAGAGGGCUAGCGUUAUUCGGAAUUAUUGGGCGUAAAGAGCGCGUAGGCUGGUUAGUAAGUUAAAAGUGAAAUCCCAAAGCUCAACUUUGGAAUUGCUUUUAAAACUGCUAACCUAGAGAUUGAAAGAGGAUAGAGGAAUUCCUAGUGUAGAGGUGAAAUUCGUAAAUAUUANGAGGAACACCAGUGGCGAAGNNGUCUAUCUGGUUCAAAUCUGACGCUGAGGCGCGAAGG